UACGUAGGCAGCAAGCGUUGUUCGGAAUUACUGGGCGUAAAGCGAGUGUAGGCGGUCUGUCAAGUCUGUUGUGAAAUCUCCUGGCUCAACUGGGAGGGUGCGGCGGAAACUGACAGGCUAGAGUGCGAGAGGGGAGAGUGGAAUUCCUGGUGUAGCGGUGAAAUGCGUAGAUAUCAGGAGGAACACCGGUGGUGAAGACGGCUCUCUGGAUCGCCACUGACGCUGAGACUCGAAAGCGUGGGGAGCAAACAGG
rnacentral:misc_RNA from 1 species